rnacentral:rRNA from 1 species
UGGGGAAUAUUGGACAAUGGGCGAAAGCCUGAUCCAGCAAUGCCGCGUGAGUGAUGAAGGCCUUCGGGUCGUAAAGCUCUUUUGCCAGGGAUGAUAAUGACAGUACCUGGAGAAUAAGCUCCGGCUAACUCCGUG